AUGGGUUCUAAAAGUGCAGAGAAACAUCAUGCCCUGUGCAUUCCAUAUCCAGCACAAGGCCACAUUAACCCCAUGAUGCACCUUGCUAAGCUUCUCCAUGCUAGAGGCUUUUACAUAACUUUUGUCAACACUGAAUUUAACCAUGAGCGUGUUACUAGUUCAGGAGGAGCCAUCGAAUUGAAGCAUUUAGAGGAUUUUAACUUGGAAUCGAUCCCUGAUGGCUUGCCACCUGACGAUUGCCAGACCCAAGAAAGCCUUUUCGAUGCAACAACGAAGUAUUUCUUGAGUCCUUUCAAGGAUCUGGUUUCAAAACUCAAUGGCUCCAUGGAAGUCCCUCGGCUUACAUGCAUAAUUUCGGAUGGCCUUCUGAACUUUACACAGCAAGUUGUAGAAGAGAAUGGGAUCCCAAGGAUUUCUCUGUGGACGACGAGUACUUGUGGUUACUGGGGAUUCUUGCAGUACCCGGCGAUCUUCGAAAGAGGAAUCCUGCCUUUCAAAGAUGAGAAUUUCUUGACCAACGGCGACCUCGAAACAGUUGUGGAUUGGAUACCUGGCAUGCCGAAUAUCCGUCUAAGAGAUCUACCCUCCUCUAUUAGGACAACCAUUCUUAGUGAUAUCGUGCUACAAUUUUGCCAGGUUAAAUGCCAUGAUGCCCUCAAGGCUUCAGCUCUCAUUCUUAACACAUUCAAAGAUUUAGAGAAACCUGUUCUCGAUGCCAUGAGAGAAAGAAUCUCAUGCCCAAUCUAUACAAUUGGCCAUGUUGUAAGCUUUAGCCAAGUGAAUCCAAUGUCCACUUAAACUCAGUUUCAAUGAGUCUUUGGAAAGAAGAGGAUGCUUGUCUAGAAUGGCUCAAUGACAAGGAACCUAAGUCAGUUCUCUAUGUGAAUUUUGGCAGUUUGGCAAUUUUAACACCCAAUCAAAUCAAUGAGUUUGCUUGGGGUCUUGCUAAUAGCCAAAGACCAUUCAUAUGGGUCAUUCGCGACGAUCUUGUAGCUGGCGAAUCCGCAAUGUUAGAAAAAGAAUUUGUCGAAGCAACCAAAGAAAGAGGGUUAAUCUUGAGUUGGUGUAACCAAAUGAAAGUACUGUCACACCACGCAAUUGGUGGCUUCCUAACUCACAAUGGGUGGAAUUCUACAAUUGAGAGCAUUAGCAAUGGGGUGCCGAUGAUAUGUUGGCCGUAUCUUGUCGAACAACAAACAAAUUGCUGGUACGUUUGCAAGGAAUUGGGCAUUGGUAUGGAGAUAAAC